AGAGUUUGAUCCUGGCUCAGGAUGAACGCUGGCGGCGUGCCUAACACAUGCAAGUCGAGCGAGGGUUUGCUCAGUAUUGAGUAUUCUAAGUUUAGAAUGUUCAAUUCUGAGCAAAACCAAGCGGGCGGACGGGGUGAGUAACGCGUGGGUAACCUGCCCUAUACACAUGGAUAACAAUACUGAAAAGUUUACUAAUACAUGAUAAUAUAUAUUUGUGGCAUCGCAGAUAUAUCAAAGUGUUAGCGGUAUAGGAUGGACCCGCGUCUGAUUAGCUAGUUGGUGAGAUAACUGCCCACCAAGGCGACGAUCAGUAGCCGACCUGAGAGGGUGAUCGGCCACAUUGGAACUGAGACACGGUCCAAACUCCUACGGGAGGCAGCAGUGGGGAAUAUUGCACAAUGGGCGAAAGCCUGAUGCAGCAACGCCGCGUGAACGAUGAAGGUCUUCGGAUCGUAAAGUUCUGUUGCAGGGGAAGAUAAUGACGGUACCCUGUGAGGAAGCCCCGGCUAACUACGUGCCAGCAGCCGCGGUAAUACGUAGGGGGCUAGCGUUAUCCGGAUUUACUGGGCGUAAAGGGUGCGUAGGUGGUCCUUCAAGUCGGUGGUUAAAGGCUACGGCUCAACCGUAGUAAGCCGCCGAAACUGGAGGACUUGAGUGCAGGAGAGGAAAGUGGAAUUCCCAGUGUAGCGGUGAAAUGCGUAGAUAUUGGGAGGAACACCAGUAGCGAAGGCGGCUUUCUGGACUGCAACUGACACUGAGGCACGAAAGCGUGGGUAGCAAACAGGAUUAGAUACCCUGGUAGUCCACGCUGUAAACGAUGAGUACUAGGUGUCGGGGGUUACCCCCCCUCGGUGCCGCAGCUAACGCAUUAAGUACUCCGCCUGGGGAGUACGCACGCAAGUGUGAAACUCAAAGGGAAUUGACGGGGACCCGCACAAGUAGCGGAGCAUGUGGUUUAAUUCGAAGCAACGCGAAGAACCUUACCUAAGCUUGACAUCCCUCGGACAGGUGUUUAAUCACACCCUUCCUUCGGGACUGAGGUGACAGGUGGUGCAUGGUUGUCGUAA
rnacentral:rRNA from 1 species